GCCUGGGUGGCUUAGUCGGUGAAGCCUCUGACUUUGGCUCAGGUCAUGAUCUCUCAGUUCAUGGGUUCAAGCCCCAUGUCGGGCU
rnacentral:tRNA from 1 species